rnacentral:rRNA from 1 species
AACGAACGCUGGCGGCAUGCCUAACACAUGCAAGUCGAACGAGACCUUCGGGUCUAGUGGCGCACGGGUGCGUAACGCGUGGGAACCUGCCUUUAGGUUCGGAAUAACUCAGAGAAAUUUGAGCUAAUACCGGAUGAUGUCUUCGGACCAAAGAUUUAUCGCCUUUAGAUGGGCCCGCGUAAGAUUAGCUAGUUGGUGGGUAAAGGCCUACCAAGGCGACGAUCUUUAGCUGGUCUGAGAGGAUGAUCAGCCACACUGGGACUGAGACACGGCCCAGACUCCUACGGGAGGCAGCAGUGGGAAUAUUGGACAAAUGGGCGAAAGCCUGAUCCAGCAAUGCCGCGUGAGUGAUGAAGGCCUUAGGGUUGUAAAGCUCUUUACCCGAGAUGAUAAUGACAGUAUCGGGAGAAUAAGCUCCGGCUAACUCCGUGCCAGCAGCCGCGGUAAAGUGACUACUG